UACCUCUGAAUUGCAGUUGCUGGGAAGAGUGGGGAGAGAGCUGUUGCACGCAUUUUCCACUUGCAGAAUUCCUGUAGGAACAUUGGACUAGAGGGGACUUUAAUCUGAUCCAGCAGGACUUCUCUUAUGUUCGGAGCACCGGAGCCACUACUGAGAAGACUCUUCUAUAUGUCACCAACCCUCAAACCUCCCCAGCUGAACAUAGUUCCCAGACAGGUUUUAUGGGAAGAGUCAACCUUUCAGGUAUGUGAGACCCAACUCACUUAGGGCUUUAUACAUUAAAGGCAAGACCUGGAAUUGGCCCCAGGUGUGACUAGGCAGCACCCUCCAAAGAGCUGGGACAUGAGCCCUCCCAGUCACGCCUCGAAGCACACUGGCAGACACAUUCUGCACUCGCUGCAGCUUCCAACUAUCUUCAAGGAAGCUUGUUUUUGUGUGUUCAUGCUAUACAUUGCCUUGAAUCUGCUGUGGUGGCAAGUGGUAUAAAAAUGUUACAAAUAAAGCAAAAGGGGAAACAGGGACACUCUCCUCAAAGAAGCCUGCACUGGGUGAGAAAUGUGGGGAAGGCAUGCACAGGGUGAGGAAAACAAAUGCACAGAGUUGCACUUUGGAAUUACAAAAGAAUGUCCGCUACACAUGUGUGUCUAAUCUUGUGCUCAUUUAAAAAGAAGAAUCAAAACCGGACCCUUUGAAUGCUGAAGAACUUUUGUGGAUUUUCGGAAGGCUCAAAAGAAUGUUCAGAUUUUUUCUUUAUGCCCACAGUCCCAUUUCCAAGUGGGAGGGUGAACCUCAUAUUGAGGACCAGGACAGGGUAGCAGACUGCAGAGGUGAAGCUGAGACAGCCUCUCCUACCUCUUCAAAUUAUUUGUAAAGUGGAGAUGCUGCCAGCUUAUUGACACUGUUAAUGUCAUUUUCCACAGGGAAACAUGGUCCCCGGUGAGGGAUUGGAGAGAGAUACUGACAGCAUUUCUACGCUAACAGUGUCUUCAUAAAAUAAGAGAAUGAGGGAUCCCUCUGCCAUCUGCUACUCCAUCCUAGCCCUCCGGGUGAGAUCUUUGCUCCUGGGAGAAUGGAGCAACAGCUCGUGAAGGGUGUGCAUACACAUAGAGUCAAGGGAGACAUGUGUCUCUCUGGCCCCCUUCCCAGACUGAGCAGAACAUCUAUAAAUAUCCACUGUGCAUAAUGUCUGCAUAGGUAUUUCUUAGGAGGCAGGCAGAUGUAUGAAAGGUGGGGCUGGCAGGACACAUAAUGUCAGGCACAGUGCCAGCAGAUGUGAUUCUACUCUCCACUGGAGUAAUGCAGCAAAGGCAAUGACAUAUCUGCCAAUAUCGAUACAUUCUGGUUGAAAGGAAGGAUGGAAGAAAGUUUGAUCUACCUAUGUAUCCAUAUUGUGGGGAGGGGAGAUAAAUCUAUGAGUUCAAGUCAGCACCUUGAACAAUUUAGAAAAGCAGGAUGGUGAUUGUUUUAAGAAUGGAUGGAUGGCACCAUUCUCAGCAUCUAGGAUAAAAUGGAAUUCUUUGCAGCUUAUGCAUGUAGUGGAGAGUUUAAUAGUGAUAUGUAAUACUAACUCAUAUGCCUGUUAUUUUUGUCCAGGGAGAGCUGGACCAUAAAGAAGGCUGAUCGCCGAAGAAUUGAUGCUUUUGAAUUAUGAUGCUG